rnacentral:rRNA from 1 species
UUUGGUGUUGUGAUUCGUCAUGAAGCUAGAGGGUGUGUUUCCGAGGUUUUUUGCGCCGACCAUCUUUUCCGGAAGGGGCAUCUGGUCUUCGUAUCGGGUGCUACUAUUCAAACUUUCUGGAUCUUUUACUGUGAAAAAAUUAGAGUGUUUAAAGCAGGCAUGAUUUGCAUUUGAAUACAUUAGCACGGAAUAAUAAGAUAGGACUCUGGUUCUAUUUUGUUGGUUUCUAGGAUAGGAGUAAUGAUUGAUAGGGAUAGUUGGGGGUGCUAGUAUUUAACGGC